rnacentral:tRNA from 2 species
GGGCGAUUAGCUCAGCUGGGAGAGCGUUGCGUUUACACCGCAAAUGUCGGCAGUUCGAUCCUGUCAUCGCCCACCA